rnacentral:rRNA from 1 species
CUGUCUCAAUUUUAUUAAAUUANAAAUUUAUUUUUAAGUUAAAAAGCUUAAAUAUUUAUAAAAGACGAGAAGACCCUAUAGAGUUUUAUAUAGGAUAUUUUAUUGAUUUUUAGGGAUUUUUAGGUCAUUAAAAUAAUUAUAUUUUGUUGGGGCGAUAGAAAAAUUAAAAAAACUUUUUUUUUAUUUUUACAUUGAUUUAUGAAUAUAUGAUCCAUUAUUUAUGAUUAUAAGAUUAAAUUACCUUAGGGAUAACAGCGUAAUUUUUUUUAAGAGUUCAAAUCGAAAAAGAAGAUUGCGACCUCGAUGUUGGAUUAAAAU